rnacentral:rRNA from 1 species
UACGAAGGGGGCGAGCGUUGUUCGGAUUUACUGGGCGUAAAGGGCGCGUAGGCGGCGCCGGAAGUCAGGCGUGAAAGCCCCGGGCUCAACCUGGGAACAGCGCUUGAGACGGGAUGGCUAGAGAUCGGGAGAGGAGAGUGGAAUUCCCAGUGUAGAGGUGAAAGUCGUAGAUAUUGGGAAGAACACCGGUGGCGAAGGCGGCUCUCUGGACCGAUACUGACGCUGAGGCGCGAAAGCGUGGGGAGCAAACAGG